UCCAUCAUUUGCAGCGCUUACUGCGCGGCGAAAACCUUACACACAGUGUCUUUUUGAUACAGAACUCUUGCUUUGGUUUGGCCUAGAGAUAGGUUGGGCCAGAGGUUUAACAAAACACAAUUUAAUUAUUUUUACAGUUAGUCAAAUUUUGAAUUAAUCUUCAAAACUUUCAACAACGGAUCUCUUGGUUCUCGCAUCGAUGAAGAACGCAGCGAAAUGCGAUAAGUAAUAUGAAUUGCAGAUUUUCGUGAAUCAUCGAAUCUUUGAACGCACAUUGCGCCCUCUGGUAUUCCAGAGGGCAUGCCUGUUUGAGCGUCAUUUCUCUCUCAAACCCCCGGGUUUGGUAUUGAGUGAUACUCUUAGUCGGACUAGGCGUUUGCUUGAAAAGUAUUGGCAUGGGUAGUACUGGAUAGUGCUGUCGACCUCUCAAUGUAUUAGGUUUAUCCAACUCGUUGAAUGGUGUGGCGGGAUAUUUCUGGUAUUGUUGGCCCGGCCUUACAACAACCAAACAAGUUUGACCUCAAAUCAGGUAGGAAUACCCGCUGAACUUAAGCAUAUCAAAGCCGGGAAGGAAA
rnacentral:rRNA from 1 species